GUCUCAUUGUCCUUGUAAACUACGUUGUUCAUUACCCCCGUCGGCGCUGUUUUCCAAUAUUUAUAGCCCCGCUCCCGCCUUAUUUAUUAGAUCUUCUUUCUCUAACUCGGUCCUCCUCGUGGCUGGACGUUCAGAUUCACUCAGAUUGGUUAACGAACUGUUUUUCGAUCAUGGCUUUUAUCUGUUUUAAGCUUUCUGCGUCUUUGGCGGAGGAUUCUUUUUUAAUAAUCUGCCAGAUCUAUUAUCUCUGGGACGUUCUGUAGUUGUUUCUGCUUCAGAUCUAGAAAGUUGGAGCGACAUUGAUGUCGGAUCAACCAACUCGUAUGGAUUUGAGGAGGCCACCAAUCUAUUGAUGGAACACCCCUAGGGUGGACAGAUGAUUGUAGCGGCUGGUGAUCCUCUGCAGCCCUGGAUGGCGAAUCGAUGGUGAUACGAGAUUAAGGCCUCGCAUCUGAGUCUGGCCGUAUAGUCCAAAGGAGGACUGUCAUGGUGUCGUGAGAUCCUUAUAUUGCGUGUAAGCUCCUGAAGAUUACCUGGCGGAAACCAUUUUUACUGAUAUUUUUGGUGUACGUGCUUUAUUUUUUUCUUAGAUUGUGUGUUACUUUAUUAUGAGGUAGAAGGUGAACAUGAUAAAAUAGAGAGAGAAGAGAACGUGUGUGAGAUGAGCUUUUGAUUGAAAAUUUGUUUGUGUCUGUCCGACCUUUGCCAUGACAGGUGCGCUUGCAUGGCAGGUCAUCCCUAAUAAAAAUUUUAUUUUCUGGUUUUUCCCGGGGGAGAUGGCACGGGGUACAUAUAUUUUUCCCUUGCCCGGCUCUCCCCCGGCGUCUUUGUUUUUCCCUUUCUGCUUCUCCUCCCCCUUUCUUUCUUUCAUUCAUUCUAUCACUCCUAUUGCCAUUGGACGCCUUUCAACAUUCGUGCUGAUGAUCGACUGCCAAUACAAUAUCAUUGUGAUUUCAUGUUUGGGAUUUCAUUGAGCAAACCCGAGCAGUAAACGGAAUGGCACCAUCGAAGGAACUCCUAAAGGUAUCUUUUGAUCCAUGCUGUUUUCAUAUAGUUUAAAUUGUAACUCACAUCUAGUUCUGACGCAGUGUGUCUAUCUAAAUAAGAAAAAAAAUCCACUUUUAAUGCGAGAGCAAAUGAUAUUGCUACCACAAAUUAGAGGUAUAAGGCAGGUAAACCAAAGCAAAUAAGAACGAUGGUCGCGAUGAUUAUUUCAAGGCACUCUAUCAGAUGGAAAAUAUUUUAUGAAACUAAAUCUUGGAGAAUGUUUGUAAUUUUGCAUGUUUAGUUUUUAUUUGAGUUUGUAUGUAAUAGUGUGACUUACCAAAAAAAAAAGUGUCGAGGAUGUCAAAAUAACUGAAAUAUUGUAGCAACUAGAAAGCCAGAGGUAUGCAACUGCUACCUUGUGUUUUUUUGACUUAGGCACAAAGGUGGGGAAUUGCCCACACUUUUGUUAUUUUACUUGGGUUUAAGCCUGACGAGAAUAAUAUUCUACGAUGAGCAAUUCAUUUAUUUUAAAUCGAUUGAUUUACCGUCCAUUAUUUGAUUAACCAAUCCUUUAUAUUGGAUUUAUAUGCUGACUGAAUAUUUAACACAAUGCAUAAGCACUGCAGAAUAUUUACCAAAACUGUGGUAAAUGAUAUUAGUGGUAUAUAAUCUAAAAAGAGUUCUUACAUCUCUAUUGACCAAAUCUGUCUGAGCAACUAGUCUCACAGUGUGUGCACAUCCAUUCACAAUCAAGUGAAGAUGAAUCUAUUUGUGCAUUAUAUAUUUUUCCUCGACUAUUUUCUUAUGUUUAUCAGUCUCUUUUGAUCUAAAUACGAAUCCUCAGUUUGAGUUACUUUGGUUUUUACUGUUGAAGAUAUCUCAGACAUUUGUUUCACAUUUGGCUCUGGCGAAGGUCGAGUCAGAUUUUGUAGUUCUGGAUUUUAUUCGUGUUACAUAGGCUUUUAUGUAAGAUGUUGAUGCAGCAUGUUUAUAUUGUCUAGUCAAUGUAAACUAAUGGUUGGAUGUAACUGCUGAAGAAGUCAGUUGUAAUAUUUGAGUCUUGUUGGCAAUGAAUUGAUUCCUUAAGAGCUCCAUGCUUUAUGGAUGUUUUGCUUGGAGGAAUGAUUUGCUGUAUAUAAUCUUCUACUGGAGGCGAGAGCUCAAUGUCCAUAGGAUGGUAUGGUAUCAGUUGAGGAAUUGGAUUUCUUCUGGUUUUGGGCAACGUCCAAUGGAAUCCUGUUGCAUUGGUGCUGAAAGUAUGCAGAAUUAUAUUUCAGAGGCUUGUUACGCUUUUCAAUUUGGUCAAGUCUUUGGCACACUUCUGACUGUACAGCCAAUUCCCCAGCUCAGGCUGGCUCUGAAUUUGAACUUUCUCUUAUACUGAAUUUCAACAUUAUUGGUGCUAUUAUAUUUUUCUGUUACUGCCUGCAAGUGUCAUGGAAUUCUCACUCUCUUUAAGGCAAGUAUCUUUGUUAAUGACACUGUUGCUAUAAUUUUGUCAGCUCAAUUGUCAAUUGACUUGCGAUACCUUGGAGUAUGUUGCUUGUAAGGCAUCAUGUUUGCAGCUUCUUCUUUUUUUCCCCGAUGUCCAUUAGGUGCAUUGUAUAAUCUGUUGAUAAUUGUACACUUAUUUAAGUAGUAGCCUAUGAGCUUGAAUGUGUUGUUGCAUAUUGGUUUGUGAGAGAGAUUCACUUAUUUUUCUCA